rnacentral:rRNA from 1 species
UGCAAGUCGAGCGAAUGGAUUAAGAGCUUGCUCUUAUGAAGUUAGCGGCGGACGGGUGAGUAACACGUGGGUAACCUGCCCAUAAGACUGGGAUAACUCCGGGAAACCGGGGCUAAUACCGGAUAACAUUUUGAACCGCAUGGUUCGAAAUUGAAAGGCGGCUUCGGCUGUCACUUAUGGAUGGACCCGCGUCGCAUUAGCUAGUUGGUGAGGUAACGGCUCACCAAGGCAACGAUGCGUAGCCGACCUGAGAGGGUGAUCGGCCACACUGGGACUGAGACACGGCCCAGACUCCUACGGGAGGCAGCAGUAGGGAAUCUUCCGCAAUGGACGAAAGUCUGACGGAGCAACGCCGCGUGAGUGAUGAAGGCUUUCGGGUCGUAAAACUCUGUUGUUAGGGAAGAACAAGUGCUAGUUGAAUAAGCUGGCACCUUGACGGUACCUAACCAGAAAGCCACGGCUAACUACGUGCCAGCAGCCGCGGUAAUACGUAGGUGGCAAGCGUUAUCCGGAAUUAUUGGGCGUAAAGCGCGCGCAAGUGGUUUCUUAAGUCUGAUGUGAAAGCCCACGGCUCAACCGUGGAGGGUCAUUGGAAACUGGGAGACUUGAGUGCAGAAGAGGAAAGUGGAAUUCCAUGUGUAGCGGUGAAAUGCGUACACAUAUGGAGGAACACCGUGGGCGAAGGCGACUUUCUGGUCUGUAACUGACACUGAGGC